rnacentral:rRNA from 2 species
UGCAAGUCGAACGAUGAAGUUCCUUCGGGAAUGGAUUAGUGGCGAACGGGUGAGGAACACGUGAGAAACCUGCCUUUCAUUCUGGAUACACGGGAAACCGGUGCUAAUACCGGAUACUCCAUCUUGGCGGCAUCGCCGAGCUGGGAAAAAUUUUGAUGAAAGAUGGUCUCGCGGCCUAUCAGCUAGUUGGUGAGGUAAAGGCUCACCAAGGCGACGACGGGUAGCCGGCCUGAGAGGGCGACCGGCCACACUGGGACUGAGACACGGCCCAGACUCC